rnacentral:rRNA from 1 species
GACGAACGCUGGCGGCGUGCUUAACACAUGCAAGUCGAGCGGUAAGGCCCUUUCGGGGGUACGACGAGCGGCGAACGGGUGGGUAACACGUGGGUGACCUGCCCUCAGCUCUGGGAUAAGCCUGGGAAACCGGGUCCGUAAUACUGGAUAUGACUCCAUGACGCAUGUUGUGGGUGGAAAGCCUUGUGCGGCUGAGGAUGGGCCCGCGGCCUAUCAGCUUGUUGGUGGGGUGAUGGCCUACCAAGGCGACGACGGUAGCCGGCCUGAGAGGCGACCGGCCACACUGGGACUGAGACACGG